rnacentral:rRNA from 1 species
AUUGAACGCUGGCGGCAGGCCUAACACAUGCAAGUCGAGCGGAUGACGGGAGCUUGCUCCUUGAUUCAGCGGCGGACGGGUGAGUAAUGCCUAGGAAUCUGCCUGGUAGUGGGGGACAACGUUUCGAAAGGAACGCUAAUACCGCAUACGUCCUACGGGAGAAAGCAGGGGACCUUCGCGCCUUGCGCUAUCAGAUGAGCCUAGGUCGGAUUAGCUAGUUGGUGGGGUAAUGGCCCACCAAGGCGACGAUCCGUAACUGGGCUGAGAGGAUGAUCAGUCACACUGGAAUUGAGACACGGUACAGACUUCUACCGGAGGCAGCAGUGGGGAAUAUUGGACAAUGGGCGAAAGCCUGAUUCAGCCAAGCCGCGUGUGUGAAGAAGGUCUUCGGAUUGUAAAGCACUUUAAGUUGGGAGGAAGGGCAGUAAGUUAAUACCUUGCUGUUUUGACGUUACCGACAGAAUAAGCACCGGCUAACUCUGUGCCAGCCGCCGCAGUAA